GGCCAACAUGGUCAUAACUCGUGAUGCAUAACUAUAAGUGGGAAAUACUGUAUCACUGAACUAUUUUUCUUAAAACAUGAAUACAUAUAGGCCAUCAAGGCCUCUGACAUACUGUACAAAAUGAACCUAUAUCUACAAAGCCUCUAAGAUUAUGCGACAUCAAAUGGGACAGGGUGCCGGCCUACUCAUAAGUCUGUAGCAAAACUUUAACACGAUGACUCAUAGACUCGGCUGCACUCCGAAUGAGGUGGAGUCUUACCGAUCCUUCGUUGAAUGCCAAUCUCGUCUAAUAUGAGGGAUCGUCAAAUUGCUUUCCUAUACUUGCGCGCAUGAAAUGCAGCAUCCCUAGGAAAAAGGGACGUCAGUACGAAUAAUGUACCGAGUAUGUAAGGUACAUAAAUAAGUACAUAACCGACAUGGAAGAAAUAUAGAGUAAAUGACUAAACUUGUAAGUCUAGAUAACUCCGUAAAUCAGGAAAUACUUAUAGUAUCAUGCAUAUGCAUAUGAAUAUCAUGUCGUGCAUAGGUACAUGUGUUCGUAACAUCAUCAAGUCUCUAAGGGCAUCCCAUCAUAUCAUCUCGGCCACCGUGGGCAAAAUCGCCAACGUAUACCAGCUGAUCAGGUGAUGGUGCAAAUAUAACGCCAUAACCUUUUCCGUAUCCCAUAUAUAUAUAUAUAUAUAUAUAUAUAAUGCCAUCUAGUCAUGGGUCUGUGUAAAUAAAUGCAAUGCAUCAUCUCGACCACUGUGGGCAAAAUCGUCACCGUAUAUCAGCUGAUCAGGUGGUGGUGCGUAUAUAGCGCCAUAACCUUUCCCGUAUCUCAUAUACAUUUAUAUACAUAUAUAUACGCGUAUAUAAUACUAUCUGGUCAUGGGUCAGUCUAAAUUAAUGCAAUGCAUGAAAUGCAUAAGAAAUACGGUAAUAAGAUUUUCUCGGAAUGCCAUAAAAAUCAAUAUAUCUUUUGGAUAAACUUUAUCAAAUACGUAUUUUUCUAAGAUCCAUGAAAAGAUAAUAGAAUAAUAUGACUUAUGGGAGAAUAAUGAUAUACACAUCUCUAGCAUUUCUAUGAAUAGAAUAAUUUUUUGGAAGUUGUCAUUUGCUUGUUUCGUUUGUGUCAUAUAGAUCAUGCCAAAAAGAAAGAAGGGAUGACCUUAACAUACCUGAGCCGAUACUCUUGGCAAUCUCUCUAGCACACGCCAAUUGCAACAACACGUAAUGGCGGAUUGGAAUAAGGAAAAUCCGUAUGAUAUUCUUGAGAAAGAUCGCAAAAGUAUUUCAUUGGACAUUGAUUGGAGGAUUAACAAUAAAGGGCAUUCUAAAAGUCUAACACUUUUUAACCCUGAUGGAUUUCGUAGUAGUGAAUCCUUUCUCAAGGAGUAUUGGACAAUUACAAUUUUUUUUAUGAAGUAUUCAUGCUAGAGAUAUACACAGCCACAGAUAUAGAAAUCUUGUAAGAACACAAACUCUUAGAAGAAAUUUUGCCGAAGGGACAUAACUUUUAUAAAGAUUUUUUUGUAUAAAUCACCAUAAAAACAAAGUUGGAAGUACACUUCUUAUACAACCAUGCAGUAACAUAGAGACAGACACACAUAGGAAUUAAAAAUGCAGAAUUGGAAAUAUUACAUCUUUUAAAAAGAUAACAAAAUAAUAAUAAUUGAGACAUUACACAAGGGAGAAGGCACACGUAAUAGAAACACUAUUUCAUACGUUAAUGGUAAAAUGGGACAGGAGGACAAUAAGAAAUAGUUUAUGGGUCCUACGACAACAAUAAAAUUCAUGGCCAUUCUAAAUUCUUUUCAAUAAUUUGUCCUUUUGCCAUGUCUUGAAAAAUAAAACUGUCCAAAAUAAAACACCAGAAAGGAUUCAACAGAAACUACUCUUUAUAGCAUCUACUAGAGACAAUACCAUUCUCUGGCUUCACCUUUUAAGAGAUUCUAAACCAGGGUUAACCGCCUUUUAUACAAAGAGUAGAUGUCAUUACCUAAAGUAGCUCCUAACUAGACUGCUUUUACUGUGGGUGACUACUUAAUGUGCAAUAAAGCUUGGCAUGUAGGAGGACCAAAGAAAGAG
rnacentral:lncRNA from 1 species